UGGGGAAUAUUGCACAAUGGGCGCAAGCCUGAUGCAGCAACGCCGCGUGAGGGACGACGGCCUUCGGGUUGUAAACCUCUUUUAGUUGGGAAGAAGCCUUCGGGUGACGGUACCUUCAGAAAAAGCACCGGCUAACUACGUGCCAGCAGCCGCGGUAAUACGUAGGGUGCAAGCGUUAUCCGGAAUUAUUGGGCGUAAAGAGCUCGUAGGCGGUUUGUCACGUCUGCUGUGAAAACUGGAGGCUCAACUUCCAGCUUGCAGUGGGUACGGGCAGACUUGAGUGCGGUAGGGGAGAUUGGAAUUCCUGGUGUAGCGGUGGAAUGCGCAGAUAUCAGGAGGAACACCGAUGGCGAAGGCAGAUCUCUGGGCCGUAACUGACGCUGAGGAGCGAAAGAGUGGGGAGCAAACAGG
rnacentral:rRNA from 1 species